rfam:Cavia porcellus supercont2_132 genomic scaffold, whole genome shotgun sequence.
GGGGAUUUAGCUCAGCGGCAUAAGCGCCUGCCUUGAAAGCAGGCAGCCAUGAGUUCGAUCCCCG